UACGUAGGGUGCAAGCGUUAUCCGGAUUCACUGGGUUUAAAGGGUGCGUAGGUGGACUGGUAAGUCUGUGGUGAAAUCUCCAAGCUUAACUUGGAAACUGCCGUUGAUACUAUCAUUCUUGAAUAUCGUAGAGGUAAGCGGAAUAUGUCAUGUAGCGGUGAAAUGCUUAGAUAUGACAUAGAACACCGAUGGCGAAGGCAGCUUGCUGGACGAUCAUUGACACUGAGGCACGAAAGCGUGGGGAUCAAACAGG
rnacentral:rRNA from 1 species